CACCCAGGCUUUUCUUCCCUCCGACCAGGCUAACCCCUUGGUAAGAAGACAGGGGGUAGUCAGGGGGGGUUGCCGAGCUGCAGGAAUGCCGGAAACAGCUCCUGCUGGAAAAUGGCUCCUGCUGUUUCUCCCACGCAGGCUCUUCUAUCCCUCCCAGCUGGGCUCCCCCCUCAAUUAAAAGACGGGGAAGUCAAGAGGAGUUCCCAAUUGUCUUGUCUUCUCUUCUCCCCUCUGUUCUCAGCAUGAGAGGUGAUCCCAGUUUGAAACAACUGGAGCNGCAAAACAUGGGAAGUCAGGGGGUUUCCUGAGGAGCAGCUGGCUGGGUCUCCAGCGGCUGAGAGAUGCAGAGGGAAAUGCGGAAAGCGGAAUCUCUUUCUUCUCCCCUCUGUUGUUGGGUCAGGAGGUGUUGUUGGACCCCACCAGCAGCUGGCGCGAGUCCUCUCAGUCUGCUGCUUUGGAUGUCGCUUCACGUUCCUGACUGGGGAGUUGGGCACAGGAAAAAGCUUUUAUACUACGUGCCCCCUAGCGGUUGUUCAGAAUCAGGAGCAAUAAUGGGAGCACAACCCAUGGUGCUUAGGCUGAGUCCCUCAAGAAUGCACUAAUUUCUGUUUUGUCAGAUUCAGAAGAAUUCAGCACUCUCAUCAACAUAAAAAGACAAGGAAACCUUUUCAACCCAAGCAUGGCCUUCAUUUCUUGUAGACAGUUUUCUGAGAGCCACAAGCUGAGA
rnacentral:lncRNA from 1 species